AAGUCUUUCUCUGAUGCAUAUCUUGGAUAUGUGGCCAGUCUGGGAACUCUCCUGAGAACAGAGAUCUGUACAACUUCACCCCACAGUAAUUCACAAAAUUUACAGGCAAGAACUUCCUUUUUCAUGUUAUGAAAGAUGCUUAAGCACACAGUGAUGACUGUUUUGUGUCUAGUUCAGCAGUAGUAAAAGUUUUGCAAAUGAGUCUACAGCAACCAGGAGACACUUAUAACCACUUAUAUCUAAAUUCAUGUAUAAGUCUAUUGGUCUUUACUUUUGCAUAAUAUUGUUUUCAUGUGUUUGUUUUUGUUUAUGUUUUUCUGCUAGGCGGAGAAAGAGAGCUUCAGAUUGCUUUCACUAGUAUUCGCUCCUGUUUCCCGCAUCCACACAUACCUAAAUAUCAUACAGGCCUUGUUACGCAGUUGUGGUGCUGGACAUGCAGACAGGAGUUCACUACAGGAGAGCGAGCGGGUGCUGUGGGACCUCUGCACAAGCUGUCACAUGACCUUGGCGAAGGCGGGGCCAUGUGAAGAGGGGGUGGGGCCUGAACAAGGGUCAGUCCUAUUAUUUUGCCAUUUAAAGCCUCACUAAAUGUGAAUUUUAUGAAGUUCUCUUCUGUUUAACUGGAUGAAACUGGCUUUUGUGGCAGUUGGUUGAUACUAAUUUUAGUGUGUCUGCAGUUUGAGAAGCAGGUGCUGUGCCGAGAGCCCCGACUGCGGCCCUUCCGCUUUUACCAAGUACUGUGCCAACAUUAAUGCGGAUACAGCCAGUGUCACAGCGGGCGCAGGCAUAGACAGCACUGUACACCAGAGGAAAUGCUGUCGUGUUGGCAUCUCACAGACGCUACCUCGGCCCAGUGGCAUUUUAAGAAACAGCCGUGAGCAUAUGUGUGAUCUGCCCCCUGGUGGCAGGACUGCAGAGUACAUGUGGAAUGGCAGCGCAGGGCAGUGCCACACGGGUCCCAUCUGCGUACCCUUCCCUCGUCAUCCUGGAGAAGCCGGCUGCUUUCUGAAGCCUGUGCCAGCUGUAGGUGUCGGGGGAAACCUCACUACUGCUGCCAAGAGUCAGAGAUCCUCGGCUGGUCUGGCCGUGCGUGUGUGUGGUUCCCCGGGGCUCAAUGGACGUGUGUACACCUCUGAACUGUACCCUCCGCCACAUCGUCUCGAUGACGGGGACACAGACUGUGACGUGGCCGAUGCAUCCGUUUUUGACUUCUCUUCUGUAACGACCUGUAGCCCAGAUGAAACACUGAAUCGGCUCAGGGGAGCGGAAGCAUGUGAUGAUGAGGAUGAUGAUGAAGAGGACAGCAAGGUUCCAGUUCUCCUCAAACCUUCAUACACUCACAACGCUUCAGCCGUGCAGCCAGGGGGAGGAUUAUGCAUGGCGUGGCAGAUUCCCAGGCGGGCUCCUAUUCCUGCUGAGGUUCGCAUUGGGGGGCAAGGAAAAACACUUGCCCCAAAACCACACAGAAUCCCCGCCAGUGCCUUCCGGCCAAUUUGGGACCCGACUUACUCACAGGGUGAUGCAACUCCUGCAAAAGAGAACUCUGUGUCUUUCAGCUCAACCAAUCAGAUCAUUAAUCAGCAGCAAGAGACUGACCAAUCACGAUCUGCAUAUAGAGGGACUGGAGUCCAGCGGGCUGAAGCAGUGUGGCAUGACAGUGAGGACAGCGAAGGACCCUGCAGUACAGUCUGA
ensembl:lncRNA